GAUGAACGCUGACAGAAUGCUUAACACAUGCAAGUCGAUGGGGAAGUGGUGCUUGCACCAUGGCAACCAUGGCGGACGGGUGAGUAACGCGUAAGGGACUUACCUGCAGGACUGGGAUAACAGGGGGAAACUCCUGACAAGACCGGAUAAUGUCAUGGAGCUGCAUGGCUUUAUGAUGAAAGGAGACGCCUGCGGAGAGCCUUGCGUCCUAUUAGCUAGUUGGUGAGGUAAUGGCUCACCAAGGCGAAGAUAGGUAGCCGGCCUGAGAGGGUGGACGGCCACAAGGGGACUGAGAUACGGCCCUUACUCCUACGGGAGGCAGCAGUGGGGAAUAUUGGACAAUGGGGGCAACCCUGAUCCAGCAAUUCUGUGUGAACGAAGAAGGUUUUCGGAUUGUAAAGUGCUUUCAGCAGGGAAGAAGUAAGUGACGGUACCUGCAGAAGAAGCGACGGCUAAAUACGUG
rnacentral:rRNA from 1 species